GGAAGGAUCAUUAACGAAAUGUCAAACACGGGUUGUUGCUGGCCCCAAACGGGGCAUGUGCACGCUCUGUUUACACAUCCACUCACACCUGUGCACCCUUUGUAGUUCUGUGGAUCGGGAGAUGCCGUCUUCCUUCCGUGGCUCUACGUCUUUACACACACACCGUAGCAACGUCUCAUGGAAUGUUUUUUUGCGUUUAACGCAAUACAAUACAACUUUCAGCAACGGAUCUCUUGGCUCUCGCAUCGAUGAAGAACGCAGCGAAAUGCGAUAAGUAAUGUGAAUUGCAAAAUUCAGUGAAUCAUCGAAUCUUUGAACGCACCUUGCGCCCCUUGGUUAUUCCUCGGGGCAUGCCUGUUUGAGUAUCAUGAACACCUCAACUCUCGCGGUCUUCCGUGAUGAGCUUGGACUUUGGGGGUUUGCUGGCCCUGUGGCCGGCUCCUCUCAAAUGAAUCAGCUUGCCAGUGUUUGGUGGCGUCACGGGUGUGAUAACUAUCUACGCUCGCGAUCGUCUGCCAGGUAACCCUCAGCGAUGAAGGUUCAUUGGGGCUCAUAAAUGUCUCUCCCCAGCGAGGACAGCUUUUGAACGUUCGAUCUCAAAUCAGGUAGGACUACCCGCUGAACUUAAGCAUAUCAAUAAGCGGAGGAAA
rnacentral:sRNA from 1 species